rnacentral:rRNA from 1 species
CCUACGGGAGGCAGCAGUGAGGAAUAUUGGUCAAUGGGAGGAAUCCUGAACCAGCCAUGCCGCGUGCAGGACGACGGCUCUACGAGUUGUAAACUGCUUUUGUACCGGGGUAAAAUGCUCUACGAGUAGGGUUUUGAAAGUACGGUACGAAUAAGGAUCGGCUAACUCCGUGCCAGCAGCCGCGGUAAUACGGAGGAUCCGAGCGUUAUCCGGAUUCAUUGGGUUUAAAGGGUGCGUAGGUUGUGUUAUAAGUUAGCGGUGAAAUACCGAUGCUCAACAUCGGGGCUGCCGCUAAUACUGUAGGACUAGAGAGCGGAUGCAGCAGGCGGAAUGUGUAGUGUAGCGGUGGAAUGCGUAGAUAUCGGGAGGAACACCAGUGGCGAAGGCGGCCUGCUGGACAUUAACUGACGCUGAGGCGCGAAAGCGUGGGGAGCAAACAGGAUUAGAUACCCGUGUAGUC